UGGAGUAUAGCCAAGUGGUAAGGCAUCGGUUUUUGGUACCGGUACCGGCAUGCAAAGGUUCGAAUCAAUCCUUUUACUCCAG
rnacentral:tRNA from 1 species